AGUGAACGCUGGCGGCGUGCCUAACACAUGCAAGUCGAACGAUGAAGUCCUUCGGGAUGGAUUAGUGGCGCACGGGUGAGUAUACCAUAGAUAAUGUACCUCUUAGUUCGGGAUAGCCACUGGAAACGGUGAUUAAUACCGGAUACUCCUUCUCAUUAUAAGAUGAGUCGGGAAAGUUUUUUCGCUAAGAGAUCAGUCUAUGUCCUAUCAGCUAGUUGGUGAGGUAAUGGCUCACCAAGGCUAUGACGGGUAUCUGGUUUGAGAGGAUGAUCAGACACACUGGAACUGAGACACGGUCCAGACUCCUACGGGAGGCAGCAGUGAGGAAUAUUGCACAAUGGAGGAAACUUUGAUGCAGCAACGCCGCGUGGAGGAUGACGCAUUUCGGUGUGUAAACUCCUUUUAAGAGGGAAGAUAAUGACGGUACCUCUUGAAUAAGCACCGGCUAACUCCGUGCCAGCAGCCGCAGUAAAAC
rnacentral:rRNA from 1 species